UCGUGUUAGAGGUCUGCGUACGAAUAGGAUAGACGUUUUUAUUAUUUAAAACAUCUUUUAUGUAUGUAUGUGUGUAGACGAGAGCAGCAAACAAUCAUUCUUUAAUGUAUGUGUGUAGUCCCCAUUUCAAAUUAUUAUAAACAAUUGUCCAUCGAAUGUCCUAUAAGAUAUUCCAGGCCUGUGAUUGUACUGAAUUACAAGUUCCUGACUUGGGACAGCUGGCACAUAACAAAUUUGGAUAUAUAUAUAUAU
rnacentral:lncRNA from 1 species